UGCUUCCCCUUCCGCCAUGACUGUAAGUUUCCUGGGACCUCUCCAGCCAUGCUGAACCGAUUCGGGAGUGAGAAUGACGAGGAGAGCCCUUCACGAGAAGGGGCUGAAGACAGAGCCCCUCAGGAGGCUCCUGCCCAGGAGGGGCCUCCGGACAAAUGUCCGGCCCAGUUCCAUGGCGGUGCCGGACACCAGAGCUCCCGGGGGAGGCAGCAAGGCCCCGAGGGCACCCAGAACAAUCCCCCAGGGUAAGGGGAGGUGAGUGGGCUCCCCAAGCAAGCCAAGACCCCUAAAGCCUCCCUUGGCUGCCCCAAGAUCCAGCCACUACCUGUGCCCCGAGGGCGGAAAGAGCUUCCCAGCUCACCCACCGCGGUAACAUCGGAGGGCGAGCGGCCCCACACCUGCCCGAACCUAAGGCCACAGCACCCAUCUGGCUCGCCACUGGCGCCCGAAUGCAUGGGAAGGGCUUAGGGCAGAACUCGGACCACAUCCAGUGCCUGAGGCCGCCUUGCUAGAGGCCUAGGGGAGGGGUGCACUGGGCUGCCUCGCCCACCU
rnacentral:lncRNA from 1 species